rnacentral:rRNA from 1 species
UACGUAGGGGGCAAGCGUUGUCCGGAAUUAUUGGGCGUAAAGCGCGCGCAGGCGGUCAUUUAAGUUUGGUGUUUAAUUCCAGGGCUCAACCCUGGGUCGCACUGAAAACUGGGUGACUUGAGUACAGAAGAGGAGAGUGGAAUUCCACGUGUAGCGGUGAAAUGCGUAGAUAUGUGGAGGAACACCAGUGGCGAAGGCGACUCUCUGGGCUGUAACUGACGCUGAGGCGCGAAAGCGUGGGGAGCAAACAGG